CCGGGCGGCGGCGGCGGCGGCGGCAGAAGGGACGACUGAGCCCGCGCCCGGAGUUGCCGCUCCUGCCGCCUGGCGCGGGCGGCGCCUUCCCAGCAGAGCCGCGGCGCCGCGAGCGCGGGCGCCCCCUAACGGCGGCGCGGGCGAGAGGCCAGAGGGCCCGACGGCCGCAGGGACUCAGCCGGGCGCAGCGUGGACCGCACGGUCAGGCCAGCUUUGCUGCAGCCCCGAAGCCACGCCCCGAGGCCCCAGUCCCGCCCCCCGAAUCCACGAGGCCCCGCCCAGACCCCGCCCCUACGUCCCGCUUCCGCCCGCAGUUUGGGAUCAGCGUAGCUCCCGGCAGUCUUGACUGUGUUCUAGGGCCUAGGAUCCCCGGCGCUGUUUCUCCGUGUCAUCGCACUAGCGUGUAUGGGGCACCGACUAUGUGCCAGGCCUGAGGGAUACAGCGGCCACCAAGAUAGAGGGGGGUCCUAAUGAGAGGAGAAAACAGACAAGACCCAAGGAAACAGCCAGUAGUUUAUAAUAAUAACGAGUUCUGAUCAUAAAUGUUGGGAGGUGCAUGAUUAGCGGAAUUAGAUGGAGAACAAGGGGAAGGGGCCUCUGCUUCACACGCGGUGGCCUAGGAAGACCUGGACGUCAGGACUGUGGCCAGAGCGCCUCCUGGCUUUACCCUCCGUUGGGGGAGGCAAUCCUGUAAUAAGGUCACCUAUCCAUUAUGGUGGGCAGAGUAGGGAAUGGCAGCCUAGCCUGAAGGGUCAGCGUGGACAGCCAGGUGGAGAGAAGGGCAGAGCUGACUUCAGCAGAGAAAACGACCGGUGCAAAGGCUCUGAGGCCUGAAGGAGCUGGUCCUAGCUUCCAGAACUCUGCUGGGAGCUGCAGAACCAGGAGGAGGAGUCUGAUUCUCACCAGUCUUCAGAGGACCAGCAUAGUUCCUGCUUAUCCCUGAGAAGUGGGAUUUAGUUCUUGCCAGCCCAUGGAAUUAUUCCAACAAGCCAAUCACAUCCUCCUGCAGGAAUGCCUCACCCUCUUUAUACUUCAAAUACUCU
rnacentral:lncRNA from 1 species